rnacentral:lncRNA from 12 species
AUCUAAACCAAGAGCUUUGAUCUUGGUAUCUGUAAAAAAGAGGUCAUUUGGUCUCCCCAGGAAGCACAGACAUUUAGAAGGUCCCCGUACAACUCAUGCAAGAAUUUUAUUAACAACAAUUUCUAUUCACGUUUAGCUACACAAAAGCUUUAUUCAUGAAUUAAAAUACAUAGUGAAUCUGAUUGUAACUCUGAUCCUCUGUGUGUUCAUAAUUAAACAACCAGUUCCUUCUAUGAAUUGAAACAAAAUUCCUUCUGGGGCAUGUCCCACUUUCCCCAGACAGAGCUGGAUGAUGGGAGAUGUGCCCAUCUGGAAAACAACAUGCACGCCCCAGAGAGAUCAACUCACCACUUUGCUUGGCAACCUCCAGCCAUGUGUUGAGGCUGACCAUGGCUGAUCCUUCUGAAGCUGCCAGGAGCCCAGAGGGAGCCACAGCCUGCAGGAGACACCCGAAACGAGGGACACAAACAGGUAAAACUGCAGGGUUUACCCUCUUCACUGCUCAAAGAGUAAAGCAAUGUGGAUGA